CACUUUUGUCUACGGAAGCCAAUUACAAAACAAGUUCAUUUUUGCUUUGUGUUUAUCAGUGAUAAGAACUCGAGUCAAAAACGUGUCAUAACAACUAGAAUACUACAGGCAGUUGGAACAAAUCCUGAUAUCGACUUGAAAUCAGAUUUGUUUGCAGCUCGUGUAAAAUGACUUGAUACAGUCUUGGAAGUCGAACAAAUUAAAUCUUCCAGACUGAUUGUGACGUAAGAUGUCGUCAUAUAGUUAACGGCUAUUCUAAACGUCA